rnacentral:rRNA from 1 species
ACACGACUACAUUAGAUACCCGGGUAGUCCCAGCCCUGAACGAUGCGCGUUAGGUGUAUCGGUGACCACGAGUCACCGAGGUGCCGAAGGGAAACCGUGAAACGUGCCGCCUGGGAAGUACGGUCGCAAGGCUGAAACUUAAAGGAAUUGGCGGGGAGCACCACAACGGGUGGAGCCUGCGGUUUAAUUGGACUCAACGCCGGGAAGCUUACCGGAUAAGACAGCGGAAUGAUUGCCGGGCUGAAGACUCUGCAUGACCAGCUG